AGGAGUUUGAUCCUGGCUCAGAUUGAACGCUGGCGGCAUGCCUAACACAUGCAAGUCGAACGGAAACGAUGGGAGCUUGCUCCCAGGCGUCGAGUGGCGGACGGGUGAGUAAUACUUAGGAAUCUGCCCAGUAGUGGGGGACAACUCGAGGAAACUCGAGCUAAUACCGCAUACGCCCCAAGGGGGAAAGCGGAGGAUCUUUCGGGACUUCGCGCUAUUGGAUGAGCCUAAGUCGGAUUAGCUUGUUGGUGAGGUAAAAGCUCACCAAGGCGACGAUCCGUAGCUGGUCUGAGAGGACGAUCAGCCACACUGGGACUGAGACACGGCCCAGACUCCUACGGGAGGCAGCAGUGGGGAAUAUUGGACAAUGGGGGAAACCCUGAUCCAGCAAUGCCGCGUGUGUGAAGAAGGCCUGCGGGUUGUAAAGCACUUUCAGUAGAGAAGAAAAGCCUAGGGUUAAUACCCCUGGGUCUUGACGUUACCUACAGAAGAAGCUCCGGCUAACUCCGUGCCAGCAGCCGCGGUAAUACGGAGGGAGCGAGCGUUAAUCGGAAUUACUGGGCGUAAAGCGCGCGUAGGCGGCUUUGUAAGUCGGAUGUGAAAGCCCUGGGCUCAACCUGGGAAUGGCAUUCGAUACUGCAUAACUAGAGUAUGGUAGAGGGAAGUGGAAUUUCCGGUGUAGCGGUGAAAUGCGUAGAU
rnacentral:rRNA from 1 species